AGUGAACGCUGGCGGUAGGCCUAACACAUGCAAGUCGAACGGCAGCACAGUAAGAGCUUGCUCUUACGGGUGGCGAGUGGCGGACGGGUGAGGAAUACAUCGGAAUCUACUUUUUCGUGGGGGAUAACGUAGGGAAACUUACGCUAAUCCCGCAUACGACCCACGGGUGAAAGAAGGGGAUCUUCGGACCUUGCGCGAUUGAAUGAGCCGAUGUCGGAUUAGCUAGUUGGCGGGGUAAAGGCCCACCAAGGCGACGAUCCGUAGCUGGUCUGAGAGGGUGAUCAGCCACACUGGAACUGAGACACGGUCCAGACUCCUACGGGAGGCAGCAGUGGGGAAUAUUGGACAAUGGGCGCAAGCCUGAUCCAGCCAUACCGCGUGGGUGAAGAAGGCCUUCGGGUUGUAAAGCCCUUUUGUUGGGAAAGAAAAGCAGCAGGUUAAUACCCCGCUGUUCUGACGGUACCCAAAGAAUAAGCACCGGCUAACUUCGUG
rnacentral:rRNA from 1 species